CAGUCGUGCAGUCAUCAACUCAGCGGGUAGCGUGAGUAAUUUAUUGCUUACGUUUUCCGUGUACUUUGUUGUCUGCUGGUUAGCAUCAAUUUUGAUUGUCAUAAAAAGGUUAAGGGGAUGUGGCUCCUUCGGGAGUGUUAUAACCCUUAGCGGAAUGUGGCGAUUGGGAUUGAGGAUUGCAACGAAUACCUUUAGGGCAGUUCCGUCUGGUCUCUUGUUGACGUUCAGAUGACAACAGCUUGCUUUUGUUGUUUGAAUUAGUUAGCAAAUAGAUUGGAAAGUGAAUUAA
rnacentral:rRNA from 1 species